AGGAUAAACGCUGGCGGCGUGCAUGAGACAUGCAAGUCGAACGGACGGUCGAGGCUUGCCUUGAUCGUUAGUGGCGGACGGCUGAGUAACGCGUAGGUGACCUGCCCCGAAGUGGGGGAUAACUGCCCGAAAGGGUGGCUAAUACCGCAUGUGGUGGUUCGUUCAAUCGACCCAUCAAAGCAGCAAUGCGCUUCGGGAGGGGCCUGCGUCCGAUUAGCUCGUUGGUGGGGUAACGGCUCACCAAGGCGACGAUCGGUAGGUGGUCUGAGAGGACGAUCACCCAGACUGGGACUGAGACACGGCCCAGACUCCUACGGGAGGCAGCAGUCGGGAAUUUGCGCAAUGGGCGAAAGCCUGACGCAGCAACGCCGCGUGAGGAUGAAGGCCUUACGGGUUGUAAACCGUUCUUUUUUACGAGGGUACGAUAAUGACGGUACCUAGACGAAUAAGUCACGGCUAAACUACGUGCCAGCAGCCGC
rnacentral:rRNA from 1 species